rnacentral:rRNA from 1 species
CCUACGGGUGGCUGCAGUGGGGAAUAUUGGACAAUGGGCGAAAGCCUGAUCCAGCCAUGCCGCGUGUGUGAAGAAGGCCUUCGGGUUGUAAAGCACUUUCAGUUGGGAAGAAAGCCUUGGGGCUAAUACCCUCGAGGAAGGACAUCACCCACAGAAGAAGCACCGGCUAACUCCGUGCCAGCAGCCGCGGUAAUACGGAGGGUGCGAGCGUUAAUCGGAAUUACUGGGCGUAAAGCGCGCGUAGGCGGUCUGAUAAGCCGGUUGUGAAAGCCCCGGGCUCAACCUGGGAACGGCAUCCGGAACUGUCAGGCUAGAGUGCAGGAGAGGAAGGUAGAAUUCCCGGUGUAGCGGUGAAAUGCGUAGAGAUCGGGAGGAAUACCAGUGGCGAAGGCGGCCUCCUGGACUGACACUGACGCUGAGGUGCGAAAGCGUGGGUAGCAAACAGGAUUAGAUACCCCAGUAGUC